rnacentral:lncRNA from 1 species
GAAAAUGUGAGUUUAUUUAGGGUUAGCUCCGCGGGAGAAGAUCACUUUUGAAAAAAAGACGUGUGGUCACUGGAGGAUGAGAUCACGCCAAAACCUCGCAAUUGAGGAUCACAUAUAUUUCAGUUUGUCUCCACUUUCAGACCUAGCAUGUAAUCUCAUAGUCUUGACUUGCUUUCGGUCAUUCAGGGCCUCAUUCAUCAC